UACGGGGGGGGCAAGCGUUGUUCGGAAUUACUGGGCGUAAAGGGCUCGUAGGCGGCCAACUAAGUCGGACGUGAAAUCCCCAGGCUCAACCUGGGAACUGCGUCCGAUACUGGAUGGCUUGAAUCCGGGAGAGGGAUGCAGAAUUCCAGGUGUAGCGGUGAAAUGCGUAGAUAUCUGGAGGAACACCGGUGGCGAAGGCGGCUACCUGGACAAUUGCUGACGCUCAGGCACGAAAGCGUGGGGAGCAAAAGGG
rnacentral:rRNA from 1 species